rnacentral:rRNA from 1 species
UACAGAGGUCCCAAGCGUUGUUCGGAUUCACUGGGCGUAAAGGGUGCGUAGGUGGUCGGGUAAGUCUGAUGUGAAAUCCCGCAGCUCAACUGCGGAAUGGCAUUGGAUACUAUUUGGCUAGAGGGUUGGAGGGGGGACUGGAAUUCUCGGUGUAGCAGUGAAAUGCGUAGAUAUCGAGAGGAACACCAGUGGCGAAGGCGAGGCCCUGGACAACUCCUGACGCUGAGGCACGAAAGCUAGGGGAGCAAACAGG